CUGAUCGGCGCGUCCGGGUCAAUUGCGGCGUGCAACACCCGAUCUCCCUCAACUGUCCGUCGGAAAUGACGGUCACCGAGGGGGAGCGCGUGACGAUCAG
rnacentral:ncRNA from 1 species